GCCCGGGUAGCUCAGUUGGUAGAGCGCACCCUUGGUAAGGGUGAGGUCGGCAGUUCAAAUCUGCUCCUGGGCUCCA
rnacentral:tRNA from 2 species